rnacentral:rRNA from 2 species
UAAACAUUUGAGUGAGUGGCGGACGGGUGAGUAACACGUGGGUAACCUGCCCUAAAGUGGGGGAUAACAUUUGGAAACAGAUGCUAAUACCGCAUAAAACCUAACACCGCAUGGUGUAGGGUUGAAAGAUGGUUUCGGCUAUCACUUUAGGAUGGACCCGCGGUGCAUUAGUUAGUUGGUGAGGUAAAGGCUCACCAAGACCGUGAUGCAUAGCCGACCUGAGAGGGUAAUCGGCCACACUGGGACUGAGACACGGCCCAGACUCCUACGGGAGGCAGCAGUAGGGAAUCUUCCACAAUGGACGAAAGUCUGAUGGAGCAACGCCGCGUGAGUGAAGAAGGUUUUCGGAUCGUAAAACUCUGUUGUUGGAGAAGAAUGUAUCUGAUAGUAACUGAUCAGGUAGUGACGGUAUCCAACCAGAAAGCCACGGCUAACUACGUGCCAGCAGCCGCGGUAAUACGUAGGUGGCAAGCGUUGUCCGGAUUUAUUGGGCGUAAAGCGAGCGCAGGCGGUUUCUUAAGUCUGAUGUGAAAGCCUUCGGCUCAACCGAAGAAGUGCAUCGGAAACUGGGAAACUUGAGUGCAGAAGAGGACAGUGGAACUCCAUGUGUAGCGGUGAAAUGCGUAGAUAUAUGGAAGAACACCAGUGGCGAAGGCGGCUGUCUGGUCUGUAACUGACGCUGAGGCUCGAAAGCAUGGGUAGCAAACAGGAUUAGAUACCCUGGUAGUCCAUGCCGUAAACGAUGAGUGCUAGGUGUUGGAGGGUUUCCGCCCUUCAGUGCCGCAGCUAACGCAUUAAGCACUCCGCCUGGGGAGUACGACCGCAAGGUUGAAACUCAAAGGAAUUGACGGGGGCCCGCACAAGCGGUGGAGCAUGUGGUUUAAUUCGAAGCAACGCGAAGAACCUUACCAGGUCUUGACAUCCUUUGACCACUCUAGAGAUAGAGCUUUCCCUUCGGGGACAAAGUGACAGGUGGUGCAUGGUUGUCGUCAGCUCGUGUCGUGAGAUGUUGGGUUAAGUCCCGCAACGAGCGCAACCCUUAUUACUAGUUGCCAGCAUUAAGUUGGGCACUCUAGUGAGACUGCCGGUGACAAACCGGAGGAAGGUGGGGACGACGUCAAAUCAUCAUGCCCCUUAUGACCUGGGCUACACACGUGCUACAAUGGAUGGUACAACGAGUUGCGAGACCGCGAGGUUUAGCUAAUCUCUUAAAACCAUUCUCAGUUCGGAUUGUAGGCUGCAACUCGCCUACAUGAAGCCGGAAUCGCUAGUAAUCGCGGAUCAGCAUGCCGCGGUGAAUACGUUCCCGGGCCUUGUACACACCGCCCGUCACAC